GUUCACAGUCAAGCCCCAGACACAGGGCCAAUUCAUGUGAGAUAAGCACGGCCCAUUCUGGGCGCACAUUCCUCUCUGCUGGGAGGGGACCCGACAGACCUCCCGCCGCUUGGCCUUCUGCCAGCACCCCCUCCUCACCCCCAGGGCAGGCCCUCUGUGCACCUGGCUCUCGCUGCUCUGGGGAUGCUGAGUCAUGCAGGAAGAGAUCAGAGGCUGGGGCCCUUGGAGACCCCACGAACAGAGCACAAGUGCACGAACAGGAGGAGCAGUAGAGGGAGCUGUAGAGGCUGAGGGAGAAGCAGGCUCCCCACGGAGCAGGGCUCAUCAGUCCCAGGACCCCGGGAUCAUGACCGGAGCUGAAGACCGACGCUUAAUCGACUGAGCCACCCAGCUCAGCCUCACGACGUGUGAGUCAAGAAGGCUUCCUUACUUCAAGAUUCCUCACGGCCUCUGCUACGCUGCUGGACACCACGGAGCUCUGAGAAGGAGUAUUGCUUGCACAUACUGAGAGACAGACAAUGGCCGUGAUAAAGUUGGAAUGAUGAGUCCGCAAGUCUCCAGGCACAGUGUGGACGUGAUGAGAAACCUACAGCUCAGAGCAAUGAGUGUCUUCCCAGAGUCAAACCUAUUGUUUCACAAUGGAUUUGCCACCAGAACACAGAUAUGAAAACCAUCCCUAAAUCUAAGCCAAAAGGGAAAAGGAAAAGAUUCGUGUUAAUAUCAUUGUCUCUAGACACGUAGACUGGGACAGGCCUACCAGCACUCGAUCUCCAAAGUGGUGGGAUCAACAAAAAAAAACCACAGGAAAAUUGGAGCAGGAAGCUGCUGAGGUGGGAAGGGCUCCUUGAAGUAUGUCUGGGUCUCACCCCGAAAGUGGAAUGGAAGAUGGUAUCACCAUUGAUACACCCCCGUAGAAAUUCCAGACCAGCAAGUGGUACGCGACCAUCACGGGUGCCCCGGGACACAGACUUCACAGACGCACCUUCCACCGACCGGAUUUCUUGAUCGUUGCUGCUGGCGUUGCUGACUCUGAAACAGACAUCUCCGAGAGUGGGCAGAUCUGGGAGCGUGCCCUUCUGGCCUACACACUGGCUGUCAGACGACUCAUCGUUGGUGGUCACGGAGUGGAUUCCACAGAGCCACGCUCCAGCCUAAAGAGGGACAAGGAAAUCAGGAAGAAGUCAGCACCUGCAUUAAGGACUUGGCUACAAACCCAACACAGUAGCAUUUGUGUCCAUUUGUGUCCAGACUCUGUGUGGAAUGGAGACCACAUGCUGGGGGCAAGUGCAAACAUGCUCCGAUUCGAGGGCUGGCCAGUCAUCUGUAAAGACGGCAAUGCCAGUGGAGCCACGCUUCCGGAAGUUCUAGACUGCAACCUGCCACCAGUGGACAAGCCCUGGCAUCUGCUCCCCUGGGACAUCUGCAAAGUCAUGGUAUUGGUACUGUCCCUGCAGAGACGGGUGCUCCCAGACGGCACCUUAAUGGUCCCGCUGUUCUAGUCAACAGCACAGCUAAAGUAAACUCUGUUGAAAUGCUCAUUGAAUGAAGCCCUUCCUGGAGACAAGGGGGGGCCUUAAUGUCAAGAACAUGUCUGUCCCAGAUUUGUCGUGGCACUGCAGCUGGUGACGGCAAAAACGACCCACCAUUGGAAGCAGCGGGCUUUACAGCUCAAGUGAUCAUCUCGAACCAUCAAGGCCAAAUCAAUGCUGGCUGUGCACCUUGCUGGAUUGUCCUCUAAGCUCCUGUUGCUCACGGGUUUGUUGAGCUGGAAGAGAAGAUGAAUUGUCAUUCUGGGAAGGAGCUGGAAGAUGGCCACGAGUUCUUGAAAUCUGGCGUUGCUGCCGUUGUUGAUAGGGUUCCUGGCAAGCCCAUGCAUGUUGAGAGCCUCUCUGACUAUCCUCUGCCUCAUUUUGCUCUUCGUGACAUAACACAGAUGGCUGCUGUGGGCGUCAUCGAAGCAGUGGACAAGAAGGCAGCUGGAGCUGGCAGGGUCACCAAGUCUGUAAGCUCAGACAGCCAAAUGGAUAUUGUCCCUGAUACCACCACCACAGUCGUAAUCAGUGGUAGAAGAACGUCCCAGAACUGGCCAUUUAAGUUUAAUAAUAAAAGAGUGGUUCAUGAUAGUGCCUCGUAAAACCAUCGGAAGGACGCUCUCCAUCAUGCACGGGACUGUCGCGUUGUAUGAAGCCAGUGUAGCGUAGGUCAUUGUUUGAUGUCCUCCGCGACCUUUGUCCAGCAUUUGCUGUUUAAACUAGAUGACAUCCUGGCCAUCCUGACUCCUGAAAUCUAGGCAAGACUGCUUGUGGUCUCCACACACUUCAGCCUUGGGAGCUGCGUGCCCUCUCCACAAUUGCUGUGUGUCGCGGGGGCUGUUUCUCAUGACCACCUCUUCAUCCUGCUGCCCUUUUGUUCUCUUUGCUUCUGGCAGCUUUUUCUUUUUUGCCACUUGGGUUCUUGAGGUACCUUCCUUAGUUUUACACACAAACUACAAAUUUUCACACAAAAGGCUUCGUGUAGCAGAGUUUGCAGAAAGUUCAGAGAAAUUAAGAAAUAGAUGGGGUUGCCUUGCUGACCCAUAGGCCGUUAGAAUUGAGUCAUAGUCCCCCUGCUCUAUGAGUCUUUUGGCUGAUUUCCAUGUUGCUCAGACAUUCUCUUUACUUUCUGUUCCCUCCUUCCCACUACCACCAGCUGUUUUUUAAACACAAAGUGAUCCUGCUCUCCAUUUGUUCUGCCCAGACUUCUGAAUCUUGCUGUACACCUAUUUUUUUCAUACUCCAGCGCUCCGAGGAGCUUUCUUUAUUGAAGACCAUUUAUUCCCAAAAGGAAUUCUACUAUCAGCUGUUAAGAAAACAAUACGAUUUUUUUUUAAACCACCCACCAACGAAACCACAUGUUCUGAGGAGUACUCGCAGAGAAAAUCUCUCAAAAAGGAGCCAAUAAAAUAGGAAAUAAAUACACAUAACUCAGAAUUCCCUAGGGCCUUGCCACCUUACAAGAGCAGAGACCACACAUGGGGCGUGUAUAAGAGCUCGGCCUCUACAACCUGCUCCCCUUUGCCCGGGAACCCUGGGCCUGCUGUCCUGACAGACAGGAAGAAGGUAAAUACAACAGAAAUGUGCCUGGUACCACUAUGAAAAUGAUAUGAUUUACCAUCUGAGGGGGUAAGGUACCUGGUGGCAAAGAAGGGACAGUUACUAGGAUGACCACAGGCAAAAGAGAGCCCCCACCCCAAGGUUUCAGUCAGCUAGUUACGUUCUGGGCUUGAGUCACCAGGGUUCCGUGGUAACAUCUAACCGUCUUCUUGUUUGAUCUAUUUUAGCCUUACUCUCUUCCCACCCCCAAAACUCUAGGGUUCUCUGGGGUUUCCAUUGCUGACCAAAUGGAAAGUGUCAACACUCAGAACGCAACCGGCAGUGGAAAUCCAUGUACCUUCAUGUGAACAAAAAAGCUAGAACAAGAUCGAAGAGAAGGGACCUCCUUGUUCUGAAGCUGGAGCAAAAGAGGAGAAGCAGAUGCUGAAGAGGAUAAAUUUGCAGACACCAGUGCAGGACGUGGAAAGAAGAAAGUCCCUUAACCUCCCAUUUCUCGCUGAAGUAUGGGGCCCGCACCCGCCGCUCCAAAGAGGUCGUGGUUAGAGCACUGUGGAUGACAAGCCUCAAAAAGGGAGAAGCCUUUCCGUGGCCCAGAGAUGGAAAUCCCAGAUUAUGUAUGGCUCUACCCAGUGGGUGUCAGUGACAAGGAACGGUGGGAAGACACAGGCAGAAAGAUCAUGAGCUUGAAAGAUGAAGAGAAAAAUAAUUGUCCCUGCGGCUGCCAGACUUCGGUUGUAAACGAUUAUCAAGUGAGCCUGCUUGGAGCAAGAUGGAAUGGACCACCGAGAGCAACCUGCCCAUGGACGGGGUGACUUGCGGCUCACUAAGGUGAUUUAAUGCAUCAUUUUAAAAAAUGAUUUGGAAGAUACGUCCACCGGCAACUGAAUCCGAAACACACUUUCCUUCGUCUGAUGGAAGCACCAACAUCCUGGUCAGCCAUAGAUUUCCAUAAAAAAUACUCAAGUGUUUGCCACUCUUGAGCCACCGCUAAUUGGAUUCAUGAAUCCUUCCUGACACUGUCUCCGACGUGUGGCCAUUGGCCGAUGCACAGACCAUAUGCCGAGGAGGCCAAGAAGCUUUCCGCUGCUGAGACAGCCCGCUUCUUUUUCAGGAACCUGUAGUUGCCAUUGGCUUGUCUUCAUCCUGAGCCAAAACCCACUCCCUGUAAUUGUACUUCCCAGAGGGAAAAACACCCUAGGCCACAGGAGAGGUGGGCAGGUCACAAGGCGACGUGGGAUUUAAAAGGCCACAGAGCAACGAGGGUGCUUACACGUCUUCCUUGGGUUUCCUUUUCAUCAGAUACAUAAAAAUAAUCUAUGCAGGGAACGAAGACAAAAAUACUGACCUUGGGAACAAAAGGGAAUGGGGUGAAGGUGAAGCAGGCCUCCCUAUGAACAGGGAGCGUGUUCAUGCUUUUUUAUAAAUAAAGGAAGAGGGGGCCAAGGUCCAAAUUCUAAAUGACCCAAGGCUGCUUCUAGUAAUGAAAGAGAGAAUGUGAAAAACCCAAAUGAAUCACUGUCUUGAUUCAGGCGAGGAGGCCGACAGGGCCGUGAAAAAUGGGUCCCAGGAAGAAAGGUCGAGCCUGUGAAGACAAGUGUGGAGUCGUUUCAAACACAGCUUCUCUGUGCUCUGAUGAAAACCUUGCGGGUCCUUCUCUACAGGGAACACUCCCAUCACUGCCAGCCACCCUGGGAGAGGAAGCAGAGGCCGCCUCUGGAAAGAUAAGUUGUAAGUCAAGCGCUCUACAGAGUGGCCACCUGCCAAGGGUCAAGGGGUGGGUUGAAGGGCAUUCUCUUAUUGGCUCCUUUGUGUCCCGGGAGGGCAUGAAAUAUUUCUGGAUGUGUGUAAGGAGUGACAUUCUUUGGACAAAAGGGAGGGCAGCUCCCACUCUGACUGGCUGCAAACUUGAGCCAAUCUCUCCCGCUCUCUGUGGUUUACUGUGCUUGUCCCAGACCAAAAGGUAGAAGGAUGCAACUCAGGCCUUCUGUGGGGGUGCUGGCAUUUACUAUACUCGUAUUACUUUCUCUAUCAUGGAUGCUCUGCUCCCAAAAUUCUGAGAAGGGAAUAUGUAACCUUCCCUCCCUGAAUUGUCUCUGCCUAACAAAUAGCCAUGGUGACAGAUGACAUUGUUCGGGGACACCUGGGAGCCCCACAUUUGCUGUCAUCCCCAUCUAGGGUCUUUUAUUGUUCAGAGCCAAAACCGGUCCCAAGCUACUGAGAGGGUAAGCUGUGUCCAGAGAUCACACAUCUCUCACAAGACCUACUAUCAUCCCUCCUCCAGGGGAUCUGGGGACUUCCUAAACAAGUCCAAAGCCAAGGUCGGUUUUCUUCCUAUUUUAGGGUGACCUUACCCACAGUCCGUACUGGACCUGACAUGAUUACCUAAUGAGAGUUCCCAAGGGCUCUGAAACCAGAGACGAUCAGUGUACCAAGGAAUCUAGAAGUGACUACAGAGCUACCCACUUAGCUCAUUGGUGUCAGAGGACAGGUUCCAACUUGGUAGCUAACCAUGCUCAACCUCAGGUCUAAUUCGCACUCCUUAAAUAAAUGUUUCUUUUUUUGUAAAAUAUAUUUGUACCUCCUGGUUUCAAAACAAAAAGUAACAUCAGUUUAAAAGUUUGUAGUGACAUAUUGAUCCUUGACUU